CAUUCUGUAAGGCACAAAAUAUGAAUGAAAAAAGGAGUAAGACUAGGAACUGCACAAGAGUUCUGCAGAACUCUUUACUGACCUCAACAAAGUGUUCUUGCGUAAGCCGUUUCCUCUCUUACAAGCACAAAGGUGCUAAAAAUCAUUUAUAGUGUAUUUCCUUGUCUUCAGCCACCUCAGCUUCUUCAGUUUCUCUGAACUUUUUUCUUCAUUUUGGAUGAUUCACCUGGUGUGAUCUUCACUCCUACAGGUCUCUCACAAACGUACUCUGAACUUCAAACAUCAGCUGAAGUGAACAGCAGGCUAUAAAUAUUUUUAAGUCAGUGGUUUAUAACAUACCACAGCAAUGGGACUGUAACCAAAUCAAAAUACAAGGGGACUUAAACCCCAUAAUAAUAAAAAAAUGGCACCUUUUUUUUCUGAGAGUUUUUUAUUGGCUUGGUUGGCUUUGAGUUUAAAUAUCACCUGCAAAUAGUUUUAAACUACUUAGAAGCAAGUCCAGAAAUCUAAAAUUAAUGACUUGUUUCACUGUGUGACUGCUGAAGCAAAAAGUAUCUUAAAGGAAUUUAAAAAUUAAGUGCCUUUCCUUAUUAGCUGUUUUCCUGUAUCUGGCAUAGCAGUGGAUUUUUAAUGCAAUUGCUGGUCAUCACUAGUCUGCAAGAUUCUGACCCUCUAUCCAGCUGUCCCUAGGUGAUAGAAUCCAAACUGUGAGCCAGAUCCGGCUUGGCAUAACUCCCAUUUGUGCAAGUCAUUUCUACUGAAUAGGAACAAAAGAUUCUACUCUGCUCUUGUGAGACCCCACCUGCAGUACUGUGUUCUGCUUGUGUUGGGUCCCCACCACAAGAGGGAUAUGGAGCUGCUGGAGCGAGUCCAGAGGAGGCUAUGAAGGUGAUCUGAGGGCUGGAACACCACUCCUAUGAAGACGGCCUGAGAGAGUUUGGCUUGUUCAGCCUGGAGAAGAGAAAAAGUAGCCCUGGGGAGACCUUAUAGCAGCAUUCCAGUACCUAAAGAAAUCUGGAGAGGGGCUUUUUACAAGGGCAUGUAGUGAAUGGCUUUACACUGAAAGAGGGCAGACAUUAAGAAGAAAUUCUUCCCUGUGAGGAUGGUGAGACACAAACACAUUAACCAGAGAAGCUGUGGCUGCC